GGUGUGACCUUGCUAGAGGAAGUGUGUCACUGGGGGUGGGCUUUGAGAGUUCUUAAACCAUGCCAGAUUUCCUGUCACUCUCUCUUCUGGUGCCUGC
rnacentral:miRNA from 1 species